UUGAUGUUUGGUUUGUGUGGGGGGAAAUAAUUAUUCGUUUAUUAAGUUCAGCAGUCACCUUUAACCAGGGGUGGGACAGUCGCCUUAUAGUGACGUUUUCAGAAAACUGUAGUGCCAUCUCUUAGUUGGCCUCAAAAUUAAAGCUUUGUCAGCUGUCACUCGCUUUGAAACCUGCCCACUGGUCAUAAAAUGGCGGCUACUUCUAGUGUUUGCACUUUGCGCAUGUAUGUAGCUCUCGUGUUCCAUUUUGCAUAUUUUUGGUAUUGAAAUCGAAGUGUAAGUGCGUCGAGUCGAGCCUUGUGUUUCUCCGCCGUGCUGUUGCGAAUUCACUCCAAAAAUCUUCUUAUUCUGUGAAUUUCUACUUUUUGUGAUAGAGACACUUUUGUUUUUGGAAUUUAUGAACGUUGGUGUAAUGCCGAGACGUAGUGCUUUCGGUUGUACGCUCCGUGAGAUUCCAAUGCAUCGUUUCCCAGAUGCUGUCAAAUUUCCUGAGCAGUUUAAAACUUGGGUCAGUCUUGUUGGUGGAAACCCUUAAACAUCUGAUUUUGAAUGUUAUAAGAAGAAGAGAAUUUGUGAUAUACACUUUUCUGACAGACACAGAAAUCAUAAUCAAAGGCUAAGCACAUUGGCAGUUCGGAUGCUUCAUCUGCAAGUUCUAUUCCUUAUUCUGUCAGAUUUAGUCACACCACUAAGAAUCUCUGUUGAGUCGAAGGUUUUUUUGAAGGACAAGUUCAGAGUCAAGUAAUCUUAGGACAAGCUUCAUCCACACAACAUUUACUGCCUACAAUAAUACAGCAAGACUG